CCUCCGGAUCGUGUCUAUGGAUUACUACAUGGCUGCCCCGAUCCCUGAUUUGGAUUUCUCGUAGGGAAGUCGAGGAAGUUCCGGUUAUAAGAAUUCAUGGUUCCACUCCUGCUGGUCAGAAGGGAUGGAUGCACGUCCAUGGGGACUUACCAUAUUUGAAUAUACCUUGCCUUGAAGUCGUAAUACAGAACACUGAAGAAGGUCGUGGAUAUAUACAUGCCUUUUCUCUUGCAAUUGAGAAGGCUUUAAGUGUUAAAAGUAAUUCUACAUAAAAUGACAACAUGUGCACGGGUGCAGCAUUGUUCGGGGAAAACGGAUUUAUGGUUACUAUUUCUCUGAUGAGCUAUUUGUGAAGAUUUACUUGUAUCACAUUCCUAUUUUUUUAAUAUUUUUUAUUUUCCAAUGUUAGCAAUAUUUUGUUUUCGUAAAUUUGUGCUCCAACAUAUUAUUCCA